GCGAGGGUGGCGGAACUGGUAGACGCGCUAGAUUUAGGUUCUAGUAUCUUAUGGUGUGGGGGUUCGACUCCCCCCUCUCGUACCA
rnacentral:tRNA from 1 species